UACGUAGGGUGCGAGCGUUAAUCGGAAUUACUGGGCGUAAAGCGUGCGCAGGCGGCGCGUUAAGACAGGUGUGAAAGCCCCGAGCUUAACUUGGGAAUUGCGCUUGUGACUGGCGUGCUGGAGUGUGGCAGAGGGAGGUGGAAUUCCACGUGUAGCAGUGAAAUGCGUAGAGAUGUGGAGGAACACCGAUGGCGAAGGCAGCCUCCUGGGCCAGCACUGACGCUCAUGCACGAAAGCGUGGGGAGCGAAACAACGG
rnacentral:rRNA from 1 species